rnacentral:rRNA from 1 species
AUGCCGGACACCAUGCCGGAGGACCUGCCGGAGUGGCUCGUCGUCGACGAGAUCCUGGUCCGGCUGCCGCCCAAGGACGUGCUCCGCUGCCGCGCCGUCCGCAAGCCGUGGCGCGCCGCCACUUCCACCGACAGCUUCAUCCUCGACAACCACCGCCGCCAGCCGUCGCUCCCCAUCAUCGAACAACACGGCGAGGGCAUCUCCUGCCUCGCCGCCGCCGGAGAUCACAAGAUACGGCCCGUCCUCCGGUACAGUCCCGAUCCAGUUUCCAGCAUCGCCGCCUGCGAUGGCCUCCUCAUCCUGUCGCAUCAGUCCGGCUUCUACAUCUGCAACCCGGCCACCCGCAAGUGCGCUCCCCUGCCGCCUCCGUCGCGGCCAGGAUGCUGGCCCCCCAACGUCGUCGCCUUCUACCGACACGACGCAUCCCCCCGAGAGUACCGGGUGCUUUGGGUUUUCGCGGCACAGAUGGCGGGGCGCACCACGUACGAGCCGCCUCGUUACUUCGUCCUCCCGGUGGGAUCGGACCAGCCAAGAUGCAUCCAAUGGCCGACAGUUUUACAGAGUUAUCCCGCUUCCUCCGACUUCCCACCAGUCCACCAUCGUGCUGCCCUCCACUGGGCACUGAGCCUCGGCAUAACCGUGUUGGACACCGUAACCGAGACAUUCCGGCAUAUGAGCUACCCAGCAGAGCUGCAGGGCGGCGUUUUUUCACUCUUCGAUCUUGGUGGCGACCUUGCUCUGCGCCACACGUCCGGUGACUGCCUCACUCAGGACAUUUGGGUGCUGCAGGACUAUGACGCCGAGACGUGGGCAUUUCGAUACCGGAUUGACCUGCGGGCGAUGGAGGCGUCGCCGCCGCUUGAUUUGACGGUCAUUUAUUUCGCCCCUAUGAUGGUUGCGAUCAACGAGCGUGAGCUGUUGAUCCAGCAUGGUGGUGACUGCCUGUUGCAUUGUGACAUCGAGGGUGUGUUCUUAGGAUAUGUGGAAAGCCAAGACCAUGAAAGCAGUUUGAAUCGGUUUGCAAAACGUUUGACACUUACUCGGCAUCGCCUCCAGGAGAGCAUGAUUUCGCUUCCGUUGUUUGAGACGCGACAAGAAGAUGCCGUGCACGAGAAGAAGCCUCCGUUCACCAUAGUUCUGUAA